GCAUUGGUGGUUCAGUGGUAGAAUUCGCGCCCACCACGCGGGAGGCCAGGGUUUGAUUCCCGGCCAAUGCA